UUAGAGCUGUCACUUCGACAGAUAUGCUAUCUGGUUUUGCUACGAAGAACUUUAGGAAGUAUCUAAACCUUUAUUUUCUGUGCAGGAGCUGUGGACGCGAACUGGUUCUUCUAAAUGUUCAAUAUCACUAUCUGAAUUUUCCUGUGAUUUGUCUCUGUGGAUCAUCUUGUAAACUACCUUUGUCGAUCCUUGGCGUGAGGGUGAACGGCUCAAUGGUUUCAAUGUUGUUAAUUCAUCUUCAGUAAGGAGUGGUGACACAAGCCCAUCAAGGCCACCAGAAGGUGAUCUUCGUGGAGAUCUGCGUCUGCUGAUCACAAAGGCUCCGCCCAUGUGUUCUUCUUUGCGGACAGCUUCCACCUGCUUAUGAUGGGAACUGUUUAUCCCAGCAGACAUGCACUGGAAAAUGGGAUACAGUAUCUUUGGAUUGGAAUUCAACUUUAAUCAGUACUGAGAGGGUACAGGAAACGAUGAGUAUGUUCCAGGAAGAAACUGUUUCCACUCAUACAAUGAUCAAGAACACAAGGGCACAGUUUUAAAGUGGUUUGGAGAAGAAAUCAAUGUGAAUGUGAGAAAUCUGCCUGGAAUUAUGAAGAAAACAAGUUCAAUCAAGCCAUGCCUGAAAUUGUGAUGGAGGCAAGUUUAAUUGAGGCAUCCAAGAGGACAUUAGAUAAUUAUUUACACAGAAAUAAUAUUCAAGGUUAUAAAAAAUGUUCAAAUUACAGUAAGCCAUGAUAUUCAUUUGGAGAGUUGAUGCAGACAUGAUGGGCCAAAUGGCCUUUUUCUGCACCAUAAUAAUUCUGUCAUUUAAAACAAAGGUUCAAAUUAAAUAUUACGGAAAGUUCAAUAAAAUUCAACUUUUCCAUAUAGUAUAUUGCACUCUGAAGUGGCUCAGUACAAUUUCAAUUGUUUAGGUAUUUACAAGAUAGGUUGCAUAUCAGGCAUACAGACCAAGGUCCAUUGGUUUUUUUCCAGUCCACCAGUAGCCUAAGAGAACAUUUAGUUUUCCAAGAAGGUGCAAUAUUUUGAAGAGAUUGUCCUCCCAAAUGUACAGAACAUAUCCCAUGACAUUUAAAAGAACAACUAGACACCUUUUGGUGACCAAUAUUUAUGUCACAACAAAUGACUAAAAGAAAUAAUCUGAUCAUUUAUCUCACUGCAUUUGUAGGAACUGUAAAUGAAAAAAUGGUUGAUCCAUUUUAUGUCAGACAACAGUGACUACAAUCAAGUAGUAAUUAAUUGACUGUGAAGCAUAUUGAGAUAUCCUGUAGUCAUGAAAGGUAUUGUGUCCAUUCAAAUUUUUUGCUUUUAAUGAAUAAAGGAACCACUACUGUGCUAUGUUGGGAAGAAAUUUCUAGAUAAAACCCACAUUUGCUAAUAUUGCAAAAUUUCAUGUUUGACUCAAGCACGGGAAAAUCCAAAAUAGCCUUAAUUUAGCAGCUCUGGGUGCUACUUAACCUUAUCCCAAUGUUAUCCAAAUAAGUUAAUUUUGCUUUGACAAAUUCACUUUUUUAGCCAGAUUUAAGACCAAAAUGGCUUGCAGCAGAUAGCAUAGCUUUUAUAAAUGGUGUAAAUAUAAUUCCCAAGUUGGGCUGAAGUUGUUGAUGCUAACAAAGUGGUUACAGAUUACUUCAAUGACUUUGGUUAAUCAUUGGAAAGCUGUUGGUGCAUUUUGCAUUCCAUAAAUAAAGUUCACGUUAUGUUACAGAUUCUUCCUUGGUUUUAUCAUCAAUGGAACUUGCCAAUAUCCUUUAGCAAGUCAAUUUUUAUGAUGAAUUUUGCAUGUUCAAUUAUUUCAUUGAGUAACUUUAUUGAUGGAAUAGAUUAACAGUCCACUCUUGACUUGGAGAUAACAUAUAUCUGUGUGACUCAUCUCGUUUCAGUAUCAUCAUGUUAAGCGAGCUCCAGCUACUUUGACUUUGUUCAAUAAUGUCAUUGUCCAAUGUGAACUUAAUCUCGUCCCCCUACUUAAGCUAACUUUUCUGUAUUGUAUCUGCGAGGCAUUAUUUAACGGAUAAUUAAAUUCUAACAUUAAAGUCAUGUAUAGCCAAUUACAUUUUUUGGCAUAUUUACAUAAAAUGAUUUAUGAGUCUGUUAAAGCCUUUGUAAGUCAUUGAUAGUUUUCCAGAAGUCAGCACAACAUUCUAUCUAACAUUUUAAGUACACUGUUAUUAUCCAAUUUGAUUACUGGAGAGUCAACAUUUAAAUUUUCAAUUUCUGGUUCAUUCUAGAAUUGUUCUGUGAUUUUAUAUUUUGUCCUUUACUUCUUUCAUUAUCAUAAAUACACUUUUUACCUUACUAUCCUCCCUGUCAUAUUAUUAUCUCUAACGUCUCAAGGAGUCUGUUGACACCAACAAUGCAAUGAUAAAUUCUGACUAUGCACG